rnacentral:lncRNA from 1 species
CCGUGUUGUUGAUCAAUCUUUGAAUAAAAAGGUUAAUACGUAUGUUUUUGAUAACAUGUAAAUAAACAUUUUCUUUUAUACCGUCAUAUACGUUCUAAAAAGUUAAAAUCAAAACGAAAGUGAAAGUGCUAUAGGCGCUAAGAACAAGGAAGAGAAGUCCCACAUUAGUGCUUCCGAAUGUGUUUGACGUCAGCCAAUGACCUUUGUUGGGUCAUCGUUAUCGGCUUCACAGACACAAAGAAUGAACACAUUUCAUUCACGAAAUAAUCAACAAACUAUACUGGACCUAAUGGAUUCGACAUGUACCAUUUGAAGAUUGAACAUAGAACUUUAAAUCUUUUAGCUUUUCACACAAAUACAUUGAGAAAUGGCGACAAAAUAUUGUUUCCAAAAACACAUAAUCCACGCUUUGUUCCUCAUACUGCUGUCAUGGGCUCAAGUAGGAUCAGCCGAAGCACACGAGGAAUCUCACAACGAAACAGAACGAUAUAAGAUUUUAUCAUUUGAUUUUGAAAGAGUAGAGCUACCAUAUGUGAUAUGUUUGUGGAUAUUAAUUGUCGCUUUAGCCAAAAUAGGUAAGCCACGUUACUAACCACUCCCCCAGUUAUUGAUCCCAAAGUCUUUUGGAUAUCAGAUUGUAAACUUAUCCCUUUUAGAAUUCUGUACCCAUUUUCCUUUUUUUAAGUUUUGAGUUCGUAGAUGGACUGCUGAUUUUGACCCCCAAAUUAAG